ensembl:rRNA 5S_rRNA 5S ribosomal RNA
GAUAGUGGUUAUAGUGCCAACUCAUGUAAUUAAAACUGAAUAAGUAAGCUAAACAGGGCCAGGCCUGGUUAGUACUUGGAUGGAAGACCGCCUGGGAAUACUGCAUGCUGUAGGCU